UACCUGGUUGUUUAUGACAUGUCUUGUGACAGUUCUCAGCAGUGGACCAAGACAGUAGGUGCUGUGUUGUCAGAGAAGAAAUAGAUCCCGGCCCUCAAAGCUUCCUGUAUCCCAAGGCAAUGCAGUCAGGGGUAAGAAGGAAGCCCUGACCAGGCACACCAGUGCCAAUAGCCACAGCCAUGGGUCUGUGGCUGGAACAUUGGUGGUCUGCUGUGCACCUGGUCUGCCUUGGGGUGGUAGAAGAGUUGUCAGACUUCUGUUUAAAACAAGUAGAAGAGACAACCCAAACAAGCCUGCUGACCAAGUUGUUCUGUAAGAAGAUCUGCAAGAAGUGAAUCUGCCAAUCCAUCCUGAGCUCUGCAGGAGGCAUGUUGAUAAGUUUAUCCUGGACAUAAACACAGAUGGAAGGAAAUUGCCAUAAAAAACCCCAAAACAUGACAAGUCAUAAAGGAUGUAACUGCACCUAAAAUGUGUUA
rnacentral:lncRNA from 1 species